AUUUAAGUAAUGUACAUUUUAUUUAAGUCAUGUGAUGGAUUUUCACAGAAUACAUAUGCCCAGGGAACCAGCACCAGAUUACACAACAGAACUGGAUCAGCUCCCAGAAGCUCUCCCCUCGUCCCCUCCCAACCCUAAGGGCGACCACUAUCUUGACUUUGGUGCACUAUAAAUUAGUUUUGUCUGGUUCUGAACGUAAUACACCUGGAACCAUCUAGUAUGUACUGUUGUAUUUGGCUUCUCUCACUCAAGAUUUCAUCAUGCGACUUGUCUAUUUUGCUGUGUAUAGCCGGGCAGCUGUGGCGUAGUGAAAGGGCAGGAUGCGGGAUAGGAAUGGAGUUAUUCCUGAUUCAGACUGAUUUGCUCCAACUGUGAUUUGGGGCAAGUCCCUUCCCCUGUCUAGACCUUAGCUGGCUGCCGCAUCUAAAAAAUGGAGCCAAUAAUCUUUUCCUCGUCUUUGGGGUCAUCCAUCUUUCAACCACAUCAGGAGCAGCGGGAACCAAGUGCAGAGGAUGGCCUUAAAAGCAGUAUGGGAACCAAAUUUUUGUCAAGUAAAUAUUU
rnacentral:sRNA from 1 species